GUCAGAGUAGAGAGUGGAUCCUUGCUGAACAACUGUAAUCAUGAAGGCAGUUCUUAUAAUUGUCCUAAUCAUCUUCACUUCGCUGUCUUCAGGGAAAAAGUUUCGGUGGUGCACUCUCUCCGAUCUAGAACAGAGGAAGUGUGCUGAGCUGUCCAAAACACUAACAGCUGUGCUGCCUGUCACUAGCAUCGAUUCAUUUGCCAGGAUUUCUUGCAUCAGAGCCCACAAUACAUAUGACUGCAUUGAUAAAAUCAGAGUGAAUAAAGCUGAUGCUGCUUCUCUGGAUGCAGGAGAUGUUUACUCUGCUGUAAAGCUAUAUGGUUUGACCGUUGUGGCAAAGGAGAUCUAUGAGCAGGGAAAUUGUGUUUUUGCUGUGGCUGUUGCCAAGCGAGGAACUUUGGAUAUCCAGAGGCUACGAGGUGUGCGCAGCUGCCACAAUGGAGCCAGAUGGACCUCAGGCUGGAAUAUUCCACUUGGGUUUCUCCUUGCAAGGAAUGAUCUUUCCUGGGAUGAGGCACAACCCCUGAGCCAAGUUAUCAGUGAGUAUUUCAAUGCAAGUUGCAUCCCUGGAGUUGGUGUUGCUGCUCCUCAGCUGUGUGCUCUCUGCCAAGGACAAAAAUCAUAUGUCAGAGACAAGAACCACUUCUGUGAGACCAGCAGCAACGAACCCUUCUAUGAUUCUGAUGGGGCCUUCAGGUGCUUGAAGGAUGGAGUAGCAGACGUUGCAUUUUUAGAUCAUCUGGCAAUUAUGGAAGCCACAGAGUCAGAACAACAAGAAUACGAACUCUUAUGUCCUGAUGGGACUACAGCCGAGCUGAGCAAAUACAACACCUGUAACUUGGGCAAGGGGCCUGGCCGUGGCAUCAUCACCCGCCACAACUUCCAAAAGAUCACCAACAAAUUUCUUACCAUGAUCCAACGUCUCUUUGGUCGAAAAGGAAAGGAAAGAGCCAGAUUUGAACUUUUCAAUUCAUCAUCCUUUGGAGGAAAGAACCUUCUCUUUCGAGAUGCCACUCAGCACCUGCAACUUCUUGAGGAACAGCUAGAAAUUGCAUAUGUCCUUGGUCUGGAUUAUGUAGCUCUCCUUAAGGGACUAGGUCAUGAAGGGAGCUCCUUGGACAACCGUGUUGUGCGCUGGUGCUGCAUCAGCAAUGCUGAACUUCGCAAAUGUGAGGAGUGGGCACUGAGUGUCAAAUCUGACCCCUUAGUCUGUGUCCAAGGAACUUCCAUGGUAAACUGCAUUGAAAUGAUCAAGAGUAGUGAGGCUGAUGCAGUCAGUCUGGAUGCAACGCAUGUCUACAUCGCAGGGAAGUGUGGAUUGGUGCCUGUAGCCGCAGAAUGUUAUGGGCAGGUUUGUGCUCCAGCUGAUGAGAUCACAGAGGAAAUGAGGAACCUUCAUCUAAAGCACAAAGGACUGUCACCUGUUUAUGCUAUAGCCUUAGCUAAGAAAAAUGCCAAGCAGAUUAACAUCCAUAACCUUCGGGGAAGGCGAUCAUGCCACAGCCACUUGUAUAGUCCUGGAGGAUGGUUACUUCUUUCCAGAUACACAGUGGGAGCUCUGGAAAACGUUACUGAAAACUGUGAUGUUGGAUCUGCUUACCAGAAUUACUUUUGGAAGGGCUGCAUGCCAGGAGCAGAUGGAAACCUGUGCAAAGUUUGCAUUGGAGACAGCGAGGUGGAAGGAGCUCGAGUGUCCAGCAGAUGCGCUGCCAGUCACAAUGAACACUACUAUGGCAAUAUGGGAGCACUCAGGUGCUUAGUUGGCAAUCCCAGUGGAAGAAGUUUUGGAGAUGUAGCUUUUCUGGAACACUCAAACUUACUCUGGAAUAUAGAAAAUCUGAAAAGUUCUGGUUGGGCAAAAGGUUAUACAGCUGUUGACUUUGAACUCUUGUGUCCGGAUGGAACGCGUGCUGCAGUCACAGAAUGGGCUGGCUGCAACCUUGGUCCCAUUCCUCCCAGCACAGUCAUGACUCGACCAGUCACGGUCACUAAAAUCUAUGACUUCCUAAUGAAAUCUCAGGAAUUUCUGGGAUCCAAGCUGGAUUCUGAAUUUCAUCUCUUUCAAUCUCAAAAAUAUGGGGAAAAUGAUCUGCUUUUCAAAGAUGCUACUCAGUACCUUGUUCCUGCAACUCACAUGAGCUAUCAGGAAAUCCUUGGAGAACCUUUCUUUCAGCUGGCAGAAUCAGUGUUUAAUUGUACACCUGCAGCAUGGAAUCAUGUGCAACAGCACCCACCAGUCCACAUAACCCACAGCACAGAACUAGGAUCAGCAGUUCUGAUUGCCUGCAAUGGAGGAUUCAUCAUUUUUUUGGGGAGUAGCAGGGUCAAUGCAUUGGACUAAAGUAUGGACUGUCACGAAUGGCACAGGUUAGUGGGUAGCAGAAGUGGGAAGCAGAAUUGGGUAGUAAAAGAUACCUAUUGUAUCUUCUAUAAUUUGUUUUCGUGCAAAAAAAUUUCAACUGGUGGUGGUUGCAGAAUUAUCUUCCUAUAUUGUAAUUGCAGUCCAUGUUGAACACACAUAUGUAUGAUAAAUUGUUUAUGUAAUCACUAUCAGAAGUCUCUUCUGCUUUUAACAGGAAAGAAUGUAUUUUCUUCAAGGAUUUAUACUAGAAAUCAAAAUAUUUUUCUCUCAAAUUCAUGUUGUAAGACAUCCAGUAGCGAGCAGACCUGGAUUCUUGCAGCCUGAAAUUGAAGGGAAGCAAUGGAUAUAUGAGGGCUGCUCCCAAAGUAACACCUCCUCUUUUAUCGCUGGGUUUCGAUGAAUUUUUAAUUAAACUGAACUCUUUUUUUUUUUUUUUUUUUUACAAGCAGAAACUGUCUGAAUGUGAUAUUAAGUCUUUUGAAUACAGUGUAUCAUAUCAUAGUUUUGUUUUGUCUGGGAGGACUUUGUGGAUAGCUACUCAUAGGCAUUUACUUUCCAAUGAGUGUUAUGACCUACCCCCAUGCUGCCUGAACCAGGCAAAUUUAAUUUAAUUAAAAUAAAUUCAACAGCACAAAGACCAAAACAACCAGCUUAUACACAAAUGUCACAGUCUUGCUACAUCAAUACAAUUGCAUGAACCACUACUACAGCAAUAAAAGAAAUGCCAUGAGUGGAGACUGGCCAGCUGCAAUAGAGAAAGUAAAUCUAUCUCCACUACAAAGCAAGGAAAAAAAAACCCACAAACCACCCAAACUCCUCAAUCUAGCAAAACUAGGCAGUAGGAACCCAAAAUACAAUUUGUAAAACACACUGCUAGAGUGACCUGUUUUAAGCAGUUUAUUCCAUGCCUAGGUUGCCUUUCCUUUGUUUGAUUUACAUUAGCCUUUUUCAUUUCCCUUUUUCCCUUCCUGAGAAAAUAAACUGCACAAAGGGUUUUAGAUUCAGUGCAUCAUAGUUGAGGCUGUUCUCCAACUCAUUUGUCCCACAUUUGUCAUUAAUUAAGCAAAUAGCAGAGAGCAGAUGCAAAUCCAAACUCAUGCCCCUUUAACAAAGAAAGGGGAGAAAUAAAAUGUAGACAAGUCUCAGUAUGGUAACAGAACAAAACCUUUCUGUAUGUGUAACCCCGAUGAAGUGGAGGAAGGGCAGGCUCUACUUCAGGUCCUUGGAGUGCUCCUUUCCUUUCUUUACUGGAGCUUACAUGCCACCUCCAGGACUCGCAUAAUAUUGCACUUCAAUCACAAGAACAGGGUGAAGUGCAAGUGCCAGCCUAGCUUUGUCAAGAACAGAAUGCUGCUGAAUAUGUAAUACACUGAAAACCUGGGUUAUAGGCAAGGCUGGGUUAUAAACUGUGAGUGAGGGGGAAUUACUUUCUGUUAUAGCUUGCCUAGCCCUGUUUCAUUUUCCUAUGCUUCAACUUUGAGUUAGAAGCAGUGGUUUGAUUUCUUGCACAGACUGCAUUAUGUAAACCACGGUCCUGUUCCAGCUUUGAAAUAGUUGGUUCCAAACCUAGGGGCAAUGGUCCAUGCUGUCUCGAUGCUACUGUUAUGAAGAGUAGUUUGGUAGUUCAGAGUGUGCUUUAAACUCUGCAGGUCCAUUUCUGUUCCUUUUGAGGUUUGGCUAUAGAUAAAUCAACACUGGAAUUGCUGCUGCAUACCUCACUAACAGCCCACCCAGUUACUUAAUGCUGUCAGUCUGAAGAGAUUUGACCUUUUCCCCCAUGUCUGUAGGACAGAUGUAUUGUGCAUGUUUACUAAUACAAGCCUGAAGAAGGCUUAAAAACAAACAAAAACAGCAGAAAGGUUCUCAGAAAAAUUUAUUUCCAUAAAUUAAAAACACACACAAAAGAAACAGUAAAAUUUUAAAUUCACACAAAAUUGAACAAAUAAAAUGCCAAGAGCUUGACGGAGGCUAAUGGCACAGGCGUACAAACUCUCACUGAGUUAUCUGUUGACAUGAUAGCAUCAUAUAGACAUUUAAUCCACAGUUAGCAUCCAUAUCCUAGAAGAGCACCUGGAACACAAUAUACCAAAGGCCCAACCCAUAUGAAAUGCAAUAAAUGAGAACUGCUUGCAGAAGAUCAUACCCAGCAAGCAUUAGAACUCAAAUGUAUGCAGCUACAAGGCCAGGCAGGCAAACUUUCUAAUGUACAUUAAGUAGUCUUAGCUGCUUCAGUUGCAGCAUGAUGAAAAUAAGAUUUUAUGUUUUUAAGAAAAAAAAAAUCUAACCCUCAUAAUCAGCAAAUUUAGUAAAAAAAGCUGCCUGUCUCUGAAAAACAACUGCUAUGUGAUGGUACAUGUCAAAAGCUUUGUAUUUCUUCUCAAGCUGCUCUGGACAUCAUUCUGUGAGCAAUAUGUACAAAUAUCUUUCCAUGAUGUUACAAAGAAAAAAAUUACUGGAGUAGGCUCUCUCUAUGAAAAGAGAGUUGUACAUAUUCUUCCGCAAGGGAAGUAUUUAAGACUCCCAAACAUACAUUCUCUGUAUUUUCUUCCUUCAAAAAUCUGAGACAGAAGCAGCUCAGAGUGGCAGUUACCUACCUUUGCACCAUCAUCACUCCCAGUGUACAAAGAACAGCCACAGGGAACGAGGUUGUUCCAUGAGUGUUGUAAGUAGGGACAGAAGUGGGAGAGGAAAAAAAGUGCACAUACAUGACUGAUAUCUGUUCCUGAGGAGGAUGUAGGGAGGAAGAAAAAAAGAUGCUUUGUCUCAAUUAGCUUACAACUCUAUCAUAAAAAUAUAAAACCAAAUCAGAAUAAUCCAUAGACCCUAAGGUCUGGGACAACCUAGGCAACUGCUACAUCAUUUUCUUACUCCUCCAAUUAUUGUAAAUAAAAGGGGAUCAAGUGUUUUCUUUCUUAUGCCCCCUCUGCUAUAACUAUUAAAAAGUUAAGAAGUGUUAUUUCAAAGCAAUUAAUUAGAAACAAGACAGAGCAAGUAAGCAGACAAAAAAAAAAAAAAAAAAAACCCACAAAAGUUCCAUAUUUUGAAGCACAUCCGAAGCUUGAACUUUGCUUGGACCCAAUUCCCUCCCUCUCACCCAUACUGUUUUCUUAAAAGCCCCAGUGAGGUUACAGCUCAAUUCUAUCACAACAGUAAAAGCCUUCCAUUUUAACAGAAGGUUAAUUAACACUGUGUCAUAAUCCCAUUCUACAGCAUAAAACCAUAAAAAUAUAUCUAUCUAUAUGUGUAUAUAUAUAUCACUCUUGCAACAGCUUCCAUCCAGUCAAUAUUUGGGUAAUAAGCGAACAUAGAGAAAGUUUCAAAUAUUUUUUGAAAGGUAGUUGACCUUUUUUUUUUUUUUUUUAAUUUUUAGGGAUUUCUAUAAAAAUAAGAUCAAUUAAAAUGUUCCCCAGCAGCUCAAUUAGGUUAACCAGACCUUGCCGCUGAAACAGCGUGUCAGUAUGUUCAAAGUUUACCUACCUUGUUAUUUUAUCCUCAAAAUCCAAAUUACCACUACUCUAAGUCUGCACCUCUCUCUUUUCCUGAGUCUUCCUGAUUAAUCAGCCUCCAAAACAAGAAUGUAAACUGUCAUUAAUCCCAGCAUAUAAACUGAGAGCAAAACAAACCCAGAAUACAUUUAUUUCAAGAUUCAGGCACAGAGAAUGUAAUAUUCUUCUUCCAUCUCUCCACUUUCCAAACUCUGGAAUUCAACAGAUUACUUGUUAAUUCUGAGUUUUCUGCUAGGCCAGUAACCGAAAUGCAGGGCAGCAGAAGAUAGCGAUGGUAUUUUCAGUUCUUCAUUUAUUGGGACUUUAUCAAAAUACCUGCCCCCUAGAUACUUGCUUAUUCUGAAUGUGAAUAUAAACUUUAUUAUAUGGAUAGGUAACUAAGAAAGUGCAAGUUUUAAGUGACAAAUGAAAGAAUAAACUAGUUAAAUUUGAGCAUCCCAGCAAAGACAGCUUCACAUGAAUAACUUCUAUAGGCACUAGAGGACAGAAAUUACCUGUACUGCAGCUAGCAUUCAUUCUGAAUUACUCUUCAAGUAAGUUUAACAGAAGUUAUCCCAGAAGCGAGCGCUCUUCUCUUAAAACUUAUGGCUGAGAACUGCCCAGUGCUGCAUCAUCUAAUGACAAAUGGUCUCACUUAAUGAAAAAAAAUAUUUUACACAUGCUAGGAGGCUCUUUGUACAACACUAGCUAUUGCAUAAAACAGUGCUGUACACAGAAUAUCUAGUUGGGAGCUAUCUGAAUUACAAACCUAAAGUGGAUGUUAAAAUCAAGCUGAUUAUAUUUCCUGAAAUGAAAAUUGCUUCAGAAUGAGUCUCAAAGGUUUUGCUGGUGCUUCUUGUAUGCAGCAGCUCAGCUCAGCUAAUAAAAAGCUCUACCUGCAUACCCUAUGGCUUAACAUACUCAUAGGAUUUGCAUCUGGAGAAGGGGUAUAAAGCAUCAGCCAAUUUGGCAAAAACUCACUAUUUAGGAAAAAAUAGCAGUGGGCAUCAUCUUUUCUGACAGUAUUACUUAUUUUUUUGUUUUGUAAUCUCAGUCGUGUUAAAAGGGGUCCUCGUGCUGCAAAUAAGGAUAUACAAAGUGCAAGUUCAUUAAAGUCUAGUUAUGUGGAACUUCUGCUGCCUGAAGCCAGGAAGGGCAUAGAAAUUCGUAAGGAACCUUCUAAAUAAACAGAAGGAAGAAAUAAUUGAAAGUAAGGUAGGAAUGCUAUUUUUAAUUAUUAAAAAUUUAGUGGUAUUAUCAAGGAUGUGUUGGCUAAAAUUUAUCUUUACCAAACACCACAUACUCUGAUGUCAUAUUGUUCAAAAAGCCAUUACAGUAGUAACAGCAAAUUCAAUGUGCAAAGAUUUUGGAGUACAGAGUCCCAGCAUCAUGGGAGGUGCGCUACUUCCUCCCUGAUACUCCCACCACUCUCCCCUCGAAAGGUCUUGAAACAGAACUAAAUGUUAGCCAUAACUUCCAGGGGUUGGGGAAGGAAUGCUAAGUCACACGUGACCCUAUGAGAAUCCCUCCAGUAGCAAAAAAGAAAAAAAAAAAAAAAGAUUAAAUAGCACCUUAGUGGGUCACAGCCAAUACUUGAUCAUCAGAUAUUACAAGAGAGUGGUAGAGUAAGGUAUGAAGAAAUCAGUAGAUUUCUCCCAACAGGACUAAGAUACAUACUAAAGUAGCUCACUGGACCAUUUUCAGCUCAUGGCUCCCUCCAGUGCUAGAAGACAACUCCUGCUCAUCCUCCUUUGCAAAAAAUUCUUCAAGGUCCAUUAGCUUCUGACUCAGAAGGGCAUCUAACUCUGCACUCUGUGGUGCAGCUUUUUUUGCUCGAGUGAAACUUCCCACUGCUUUGAUUUUGCCUCGUGCCUUUCUCUUUCGAGGAACAGUGAAGUCCUGAAACUCCAGAAUCCGCUUUCUCUUCUGCUGGCUGACAGAAAUCAAGUGUCCAUUUUUUUCCUUGGGCUCUUCAAAGAUUGUUUCCAAGCUCCUGAUAGAAGCAGAAGAUAGAGCUGAUGAAUACUCAAGAAGUUAUCCCCUUACAAGGACAGGGAGACUGAUGCUCCCAAGUAAACACUCCUACUUUUUACAUUUUUACAGCCCAUUCAUAUUCCUUCUUGUGUAUGUUUAUCUACAGUUUGCACCUCCAGCAACUGCACAUUUAUACUGCUAGCUAAAUAAUGUUAUUGAUGCAUACGCAUGCAGUUUGAAUCUCUUUGUAUUUCAGUUCAAAAGCACAAUUACAGAGAAAUUUGAUUUUAUAGAAGAAAGUACCGGUCUUGACAGUCGUGAUAUACUUGAUAACAGUUAUUCUUGUGAUUUUAAAGAAUAUUCAGUUGCCCUCAGAUUUUGAAAAGAUAAAAUUUAAGUUUUUACAUCUGCCAUUCCAACACUGAAAAAAAGUAGAAGAAAGUAUCAGCACCUUAUUUCCACUUCCUCAAGCAAAAAGAACAUAUUUAUCCAAGUAAGAAAACUAAGUUCUGCAGUUUCGCAUACAUAUUUCAUAGUAAGAUACUUAACGUGCUUGAAAGCAACAGCAUUGUUCUGUGCAGUGAUCUACUUGGUGUUUGUGUGAAUGCCCCCGUACAUUCCCCUUCAACAUCCAAUCAGUGUGUUUCUCUAGAACUUUAAUCAGAAAGCUAUUACUGAAGUGAACUGUCAAAAACUGAAACACAAAAUGGUAUCAAUGUCUCUUUCUAAGAAAGCUAUUGAUCCAGCUACUCAGAAUAAAUAUCAAAGUUCUAGAUACUCACCAUA